UUUAAAGAUGAAAACCUUCACCUAGUGCUUCAAAGCAAACCCCAAUGGUUCAAUCCUAUACAACAUGAACAAACAUAAAAACCAAAAAAACUUAAUACAAAAGCUUUACAAUAUAAUCAUGAAAAUAGAUUAACAGUUCAUUUAACACCAAAAGGUAACAACAGUCAAAUUGAUCUAAUCAAGAUGAAUAAAUGUCAUAAUCCUUACACUUCUAUUUCAGAAUAAUCGGU
rnacentral:lncRNA from 1 species